UCUCUCUAAACCAACAUCUCCUCUCACUGCAAAACACAGCCCCCUCCCUCCUCCUGGGGCAGUUGGACUUAGAAACCAGCUCAUCUGUAGGGGAAGAAAUUCUUAUAGGGGAAACGGGAUGGUGUGGCGUGCAGAUAAACAGAGAAGCCUGCUGUUGAUGGCUGCUGGGUGUCUCCAGGGAUCAGUAACACCUUCAUCAGAGAGAACGCUUCUCACAAAGGAUAGUCAAUGCCUUUUGGUGCAAAGAUUGAAAUACAGAGCUACUGAGUGACUGGGCUUUGGAUCCACAGAGAAGUCCGGGACAGCCAGUGAAAAGGACAAGAGUGUUUUCGCAUGAUGGCAUAGAAGGGCCAGAGGCUUGACAGCUUCCUUCAUCCUUCCAAAGUCCACUCUCCUCCAAAGACAAGCAUAGAAAUAAUAACAGAGUAAAUGUCUUCACUAACAGUGA